rnacentral:rRNA from 1 species
UACGUAGGGUGCGAGCGUUAAUCGGAAUUACUGGGCGUAAAGCGUGCGCAGGCGGUUUUGUAAGCCAGAUGUGAAAUCCCCGGGCUUAACCUGGGAAUGGCAUUUGGGACUGCAAGGCUCGAGUGCGGCAGAGGAGACUGGAAUUCCUGGUGUAGCAGUGAAAUGCGUAGAUAUCAGAAGGAACACCGAUGGCGAAGGCAGGUCUCUGGGCUGACACUGACGCUGAGGCACGAAAGCUAGGGUAGCAAACGGG